rnacentral:rRNA from 1 species
GGAUUGUAAACUUCUUUUAUUAAGGACGAAAAUUGACGGUACUUAAUGAAUAAGCUCCGGCUAACUACGUGCCAGCAGCCGCGGUAAUACGUAGGGAGCAAGCGUUGUCCGGAUUUACUGGGUGUAAAGGGUGCGUAGGCGGCUUUGCAAGUCAGAUGUGAAAUCUAUGGGCUCAACCCAUAAACUGCAUUUGAAACUGUAGAGCUUGAGUGAAGUAGAGGCAGGCGGAAUUCCCCGUGUAGCGGUGAAAUGCGUAGAGAUGGGGAGGAACACCAGUGGCGAAGGCGGCCUGCUGGGCUUUAACUGACGCUGAGGCACGAAAGCGUGGGUAGCAAACAGGAUUAGAUACCCUGGUAGUCCACGCUGUAAACGAUGAUUACUAGGUGUGGGGGGUCUGACCCCUUCCGUGCCGGAGUUAACACAAUAAGUAAUCCACCUGGGGAGUA